rnacentral:lncRNA from 1 species
GCCAGUACUGCUAUUGACAAAAAACUGAGGAUCCGCAGCGUUACUGAAAAUAUUAAAAAGAUAAAAUUUAUGAACCUCAAGUACUUAAUUAAGUCAUAGUUAUAAUCCAAACAAAUUUCAUAGAUACGUAAGUUUGUUAUCAGCGUCAUAUCAGCUGAUUGUUGAAGUUUACUAUGAACUAAACGUGUUCUACUUUCGACAUAAGAGUGUUCUUUAUUGUGUUUUAGUAGCUUGUGAAAACUUAAGUGUUUAAUUUCUCAAAUUAUUUAAAAAUAUGCAAGAUCUAGAGGAUUUACGUCAACGCCUUCAACAGUGCAGUGUUUUGUUAUUAAAACAUUCAUAUAAACGCAAACUUAAUCGUGCAUGUGCCUUAUAACAGUUUGUAAUGAUAUUGGGAAUAUAAAAAAUUGUAACAAAAUACUCAUAAUAAUAAAAUGAAUUGCUGCUACUGAGAACUAAAUAUAGAAGACUUAUAAUAAAAACAAGUAGGUGGUACAAUUUUUUAAAAAAAAACAUAAAAAUUGUUUUAAAUAUGGAAAGUUUAGACAACGUCUCAGUAAAAAGUAGUGUCAUGAACAUAACUUACGAGGAUUGUAAGUUGUUAAAUGUGAAACAUGGGCCAUGUUCGGAGUCUACCGUGUGAAAGUGUCCACAGCAGGAGAAUUCUUUGUUGUUGAAACGACAGUCUGCGACCAUCUCGUCGCAUUGUUUAUGUACCUAAAUGCGGGGGCGAGGAUAUACGUCACGUCAAGCGGGGCAAAACUGAGAGGGCAGCAAAAUUCAACUAAGUAUUUUAUUCUAACAAUAUACUAAUAAAAUAAUAAAAUAAGAAAGA